rnacentral:rRNA from 1 species
AUUGAACGCUGGCGGCAUGCCUUACACAUGCAAGUCGAACGGCAGCACGGGUGCUUGCACCUGGUGGCGAGUGGCGAACGGGUGAGUAAUACAUCGGAACGUACCUUAUCGUGGGGGAUAACGCAGCGAAAGCUGUGCUAAUACCGCAUACGCCCUGAGGGGGAAAGCGGGGGAUCGCAAGACCUCGCGCGAUUAGAGCGGCCGAUGCCUGAUUAGCUUGUUGGUGGGGUAAAAGCCCACCAAGGCGACGAUCAGUAGCUGGACUGAGAGGACGAUCAGCCACACUGGGACUGAGACACGGCCCAGACUCCUACGGGAGGCAGCAGUGGGGAAUUUUGGAUAAUGGGGGCAACCCUGAUCCAGCAAUGCCGCGUGAGUGAAGAAGGCCUUCGGGUUGUAGAGCUCUUUUGUCAGGGAAGAAACAGCAGCUCUAACACAGUUUGCGAAUGACGGUACCUGAAGAAUAAGCACCGGCUAACUACGUGCCAGCCGCCGCCGUAA